GUAGGGAAUAUUGGACAAUGGGGGCAACCCUGAUCCAGCGACGCCGCGUGAGUGAUGAAGGCCUUCGGGUCGUAAAGCUCUGUUGCAGGGGAAGAACACAAUGACGGUACCCUGCUAGAAAGGAUCGGCUAACUUCGUGCCAGCAGCCGCGGUAAGACGAGGGAUCCUAGCGGUGUUCGGAAUUAUUGGGCGUAAAGCGGGUGCAGGUGGCUUGGUAAGUCAGAUGUGAAAGCCUGGGGCUUAACCCCAGAAGUGCAUUUGAUACUGCUGAGCUUGAGUGCUGGAGAGGCUAUUAGAAUUCCUGGUGUAGUGGUGAAAUACGUAGAUAUCAGGAGGAAUACCGGAGGCGAAGGCGGAUAGCUGGCCAGACACUGACACUCAGACCCGAAAGCGUGGGGAUCAAACAGGAUUAGAAACCCGUGUAGUCC
rnacentral:rRNA from 1 species